GGGAACGUACCUUUUGGUUCGGAACAACACAGGGAAACUUGUGCUAAUACCGGAUAAGCCCUUACGGGGAAAGAUUUAUCGCCGAAAGAUCGGCCCGCGUCUGAUUAGCUAGUUGGUAGGGUAACGGCCUACCAAGGCGACGAUCAGUAGCUGGUCUGAGAGGAUGAUCAGCCCCAUUGGGACUGAGACACGGCCCAAACUCCUACGGGAGGCAGCAGUGGGGAAUAUUGGACAAUGGGGGCAACCCUGAUCCAGCCAUGCCGCGUGAGUGAUGAAGGCCCUAGGGUUGUAAAGCUCUUUUGUGCGGGAAGAUAAUGACGGUACCGCAAGAAUAAGCCCCGGCUAACUUCGUGCCAGCAGCCGCGGUAAUACGAAGGGGGCUAGCGUUGCUCGGAAUCACUGGGCGUAAAGGGUGCGUAGGCGGGUUUUUAAGUCAGAGGUGAAAUCCUGGAGCUCAACUCCAGAACUGCCUUUGAUACUGGGAAUCUUGAGUAUGGAAGAGGUGAGUGGAACUGCGAGU
rnacentral:rRNA from 1 species